GUCUUAUUGAUUAUUAAGUGAUAAGUCUAUUUCUGCCCAUUGAAAAAUAUUUUAAAAGGCUGCGGUAUUUUAACUGUACAAAGGUAGCAAAAUAAAUAGUUUUUUAAUUGAAAACUAGAAUGAAAGAGUUGAUAAAAUAAAAGUUGUCUCAAUUUAAUUAAAUUGAAUUUAAAUUAAAAGUAAAAAUUCUUUUAUUUUUUUAUUAGACGAUAAGACCCUAAGAAUUUUAUUAAUAAAUUUAUUGUAAAAUAUUAUUUAUAAAAUUUAUAAAUUAAAUUUAUUAAGUUUGUUGGGAGGAUAAUUAAAUUUAUAAACUUUAAUUUAAAAUUAAAAUAAUUUAAUUAAAAUUUUAAUGAUUAUUAUUAUAAUUAUAAGAAUUAAUUACCUUAGGGAUAACAGCGUAAUAAUUUUGGAUAGAUCAUAUUGAUAAAAUUGUUUGC
rnacentral:rRNA from 1 species